rnacentral:rRNA from 1 species
GAACGCUGGCGGCAUGCUUUACACAUGCAAGUCGAACGGCAGCACGGGUGCUUGCACCUGGUGGCGAGUGGCGAACGGGUGAGUAAUGCAUCGGAACGUGCCCAUGAGUGGGGGAUAGCCCGGCGAAAGCCGGAUUAAUACCGCAUACGCCCUUAGGGGGAAAGCGGGGGGAUCUUCGGACCUCGCGCUAUUGGAGCGGCCGAUGUCGGAUUAGCUAGUAGGUGAGGUAAAGGCUCACCUAGGCGACGAUCCGUAGCUGGUCUGAGAGGAUGAUCAGCCACACUGGGACUGAGACACGGCCCAGACUCCUACGGGAGGCAGCAGUGGGGAAUUUUGGACAAUGGGCGCAAGCCUGAUCCAGCCAUGCCGCGUGAGUGAAGAAGGCCUUCGGGUUGUAAAGCUCUUUCAGGUGGAAAGAAAUAGCGCUGUUUAAUAGAUGGCGUUGAUGACGGUACCACCAGAAGAAGCACCGGCUAACUACGUG